ACUUAAAUAAUUUAAUUUAAAAUAUCAGCUUGUGGAUCUGGAAAUGUAAAUUUUACUUUAAGUU
rnacentral:tRNA from 1 species